AAAAGAGAGAUAGAGACAGACAGAAAGGAAAUGUCCCUUGCAUUUGAAAACUAUGGAAAUAUUUUUUUUUUAAGUAUUUCAUUUAAUAUUUCCACAAUUUAAUUGCUUUUCAUGAUUUACUCUAGUUGAAAAAGUCGCAAAGACUGAAACUGGAACUAAAAUGUUCUUGAUGAUAAAAUUAUUUUAGCAUUUUCUACCUUGUCUUAUUUUCCUUAUAUACACAAAUACAUAUAUACAUAUAUUGGACAUAUAGUUUUAACAUUUCCAGUGGUUUCCCUUUUCAAAAAAACUCGUUGUAAAUGUUUCACGAGCACUCGAGCAAACGGACUCCUCAACUUGUCCAAAGGUUUUCAAAGCACCAGCAGGCCUCAAGAGACACAUGUGUAAAAUAUAUAUAAUCAGUUAACAUUAUAUUGCACAGUAGCGUAUGCGUUAAAAAGGAUUCGUUACAUCGAAGAUACUUUAGCAUGAACCCAUUCGACUCUGUCCAGAAUAUUGCUUUCGUCAAACGAUUCUAUAUCUACCAAUAUAUUGAGAGAGAAAAAAGCCAUAAAAAAUGAAAUGUCUGCAGAAGAAUCAAAAAUAAAUGAAGAAAGGUUCAGUUUAGAAGAAAACACCUGCAAUAGUGAACUAAAUAAUUGAUGAGUUGAAUAUCUGCUAACAAAAGACCGGUCAAAUGUGUUGUUGACUAAUUUCAUUGAACAUGUCUUCGAACCAAACAACCGAACAUAUAGUGGAGGGGAGAGGCGCCAUUGGCAGGAGGAA